rnacentral:rRNA from 1 species
UCGAAACCUGCCCAGCAGAACGACCAGCGAACAUGUUUAUACAUUGUGUGGGGAGGGGUAGCUGGUUUUCCAGUCCCUCCCCACGCCGGGGGGCAUUCCUCUAGGUUGCUCCUGGGCACAAUAACGAACCCCGGCGUGUAUGCGCCAAGGAUCACAAACAAGAGCGUGCCUAUCCUUGCUCGGACAUCCGGCGCAAUGAUAUGGCAGCCAAUCUAAGUCAUAAAACGACUCUCGGCAACGGAUAUCUCGGCUCUCGCAUCGAUGAAGAACGUAGCGAAAUGCGAUACUUGGUGUGAAUUGCAGAAUCCCGUGAACCAUCGAGUUUUUGAACGCAAGUUGCGCCCGAAGCCUUCCGGCCAGGGCACGCCUGCCUGGGCGUCACGCAUAGUGUCUCCCCCACCCACUAAGUGUAGGAGGGAGAGGAUGAUGGCCUCCCAUGCCUCACCGGGCAUGGAUGGCCUAAAUAAGGAGCCCUCAGACACAAAAUGUCGCGGCGAUAGGUGGUACACAAGGCAUUUGCCUAGAAAGCAUCGCGCCGUUCAUCAUGUAGUCUAUGUGGUCUCGAAAGACCCUUACCAACCUUUGCGACCCCAGGUCAGGCGGGGUUAC